rnacentral:rRNA from 1 species
ACGUAGGUGGCGAGCGUUGUCCGGAUUUACUGGGCGUAAAGGAUGCGUAGGUGGAAACUUAAGUGGGAUGUGAAAUCCCCGGGCUCAACCCGGGAACUGCAUUCCAAACUGGGUAUCUAGAGUGCAGGAGAGGAAAGCGGAAUUCCUAGUGUAGCGGUGAAAUGCGUAGAUAUUAGGAAGAACACCAGUGGCGAAGGCGGCUUUCUGGACUGUAACUGACACUGAGGCAUGAAAGCGUGGGGAGCAAACAG